AUAGUGUCCUUCCAGUACCGCAGCUUUUAGGCUACUUUUCAGUUUCCCUUUGCUUUCAGGUCUGGUGGAAAUCCCUGUGGUACACAAAGUGUAGGGUAGCUUCAAGAGGCUGUGAGCACAUGACGCUUGUCCUCACUCCUAAUUUUUGUUUUGCAGCUGGGGCUGCUAGCAGGCCCUUUACCUUUGCUGUUGCCAUCCCUCCUUCAGCGUGCAGCUGUGCUGCCACCGUGCAGGAGGCACAGGAGGCUGUGCUGCACCAGCCAGCAGCAGGGCAUUGGAUACUCACUUCCUGGAAGGGCGAGAAUAGCUGUGUUCUUUUCUGUUUCAAGAGACAGAUGUAGAUGUUAACACAUCUACAAAGAGGAUUUGAAAAUCUGCUGUAGCAUGUUUGAGGAAAAUGUCAUAUUCCAGUGGUUAGGCUGAAUAAAUGAGUUUCUCUUCAACUGUUCUUUGUUGACAUUUUUCUGUUCCAUUUCAGAGCGAAUAACAUGGGAGAUGCCAAUGCUAAAGAUAGGCUAGUGUUUAUCUUCCAAACAGUUGCAAUCAAGGCGAAAGGGUGAAAAGCCAGGGUGAUUUAGCUAUGUCCUGCAGAGGCCUUCCUGAAUGCAGCUGAAAAAAUAAACCUCCCUCCCAGUCUUCCUGUGCUGCUAAUUUUGAAGGUUUCUUGUGCAGUACUUUUUAGCGUCAUGACUAUCGUGUCUAUCUGUCCUGUAAGGAUUGCAGGAAGACUUAUUACAUUCACUUUAGUAAGGGUAAUGACUGUAUCAAAGAGGUUUGAGUCUGUCAUCUGCUCCCUAGGCUUGAGAUGUGGGUUGUACAUUUCCUUUCAGUAAUUCACAGCUUAAAAGCAUCCAACAGAUGCCACUUACAGUGAUGCAUGGCAGUGAGUAGGCAUGAGCAUUCCAUGUCUGCACAGGAAGGAGCUGGAAGUCAAAUGCUCAUGGUGCAGCAGAAUGUUUCUUAGGGCAGAGGUGAGACUGAGCACCCCAGGAGUGUCUUCAACACUAUUUUUUUCCAAAUUACAGGAAAUUGCACAGGAAAAUUUAUCUUUAAUGAGACUGGUUGUUAUUCUCAUAUCACUUUAUAUAUAAAUCAUUCUCUCCUUGUGUCAAGAGGUUCAUCCAGUCAGUAAAAACUUGAACUUGAAAGCAAGUCUUUUAUUCUCUUUCUGUUUUGAGUCCAGUCCCCUCCAUGCCUGUCAGCAUUUCUCCCAGGUGCUUGUUUUUAAAUGCUGUGUUAUUGCAAAGCUCAUCAUGCUGGUGUGGUGGGACUGUACCUCCAUGCCUUACUUUGACCUGAUCAGUGUAGAGGGGUUCUGUGAACAGUGCAGUAUCUUUGCUCUACCAGAAUCAGGAAAAAUAAAUCUUCUCUGUUCAUCUUAUGAGAAAGCUUCUUCUGCUGUUUUUGCAAUCAUUUUAGCUAGGUUUGUUCAGUAAUUAAUGGAGGAUUUCUGGGUGCAAUUUAGUGUCCACCUCAAGAGGCUGAGGACAAUCUCCUCUCCUAGCUGUGUAUGCACCGGUUCUGCUCUUGCAUAACUUCUCUUACCCCUGGAUUUCCAAUAAUUCCCUGGCAACACUUCAAAGUGGAGCUAUUAUCAGAAACAAAUAUGAGAAGGUGCUCGCAAUUCCUGCAGGGUUUUGUGCUGGGAUCCUGAAAAUGCAUUUGCUUUAGGAGCUGGCUAAUGAUGACCCUUACCAGUGCUGGGGAUCUGACCCUGCAGGAGCACAGUGGACAGACUGGGGCACUGCUGUUGGUAAGAAGCACCACACUGCUGUUAUCUAACCUCCAAAGUGCCAGCAGAGCCCUGGGACAAAACACAAAUCAAGGCAUCUAUUUAAUUGUCAGGUUGACAGCAAACAAAUUGCAGUGUAAGAGGGGCCAAUGAGUAAGCUCUAGCAAAUCUGGUUGCUGUGGUUUCUCAAAUGUCAGCAGUGCCAGCAGUUUGCUGGCUGCCUUCCAUGAGGUUUGGCCCCCUGGCAGCGUGCAUGGACCUCAGUCUUCAAGGCUCCUGGUGCCAGGCUUUUGAGCCACCACCAGAGAGACCAGCAUGAUUCUCCAGGCUGCACCAAGCCUGGUUUGAACCUCAGCUCCCAUGGCAUGGCUCAGCCUGGGCUGUCUUUUGUACUUUGGGGUUGCAUUUCUGUGGGGAGAAAAACCUUGGGGAGGUGCAGAUAACACAAAAUCUCUGAGCAGAACUCAGAUUGUUUGUGCAGUGACGGUGCUCUGGAUUUGCAGUUUGACUUUUCACAGCCAUCCUAAAUAGAGUGUGCAAGCUGCAAGCAGUGCUUCAGCAAGGCUGGCUCCUAACUUUAGGGUAUUUUUUAAGCUGUAAAGAUGCAAGAUUACAUGCUGAGAGAAAAUAAUCAGGUGUUCAAUAACAACACAGCAAGAAGAUCAUUCUCUUGAACUAGGGGGCCAGUGACAGGACAGGGAAGUCACCAGGUCAACCUUGAGGGCUUUACCAAGUAGUAUGUGGACUUCUCCUUGAGUAGCCUGAAGUCAGGUAACUGAGUUUGGAAGAAUUCAUUAAUUGUGGGAAUUAAUUAAGUCGCAAGCUGCAUCUUGCCACAUGUGUGUGUGUGUGUGUCCCUGUGCUUGGUCUGUGUAGUCUGGAGUAGCAGAGCAGGCCAGCCUUUGACUGUGCAACAAAGCACUUCCAGAUAUUUAAUUGGCAGUGCAAUUACUUAACUGGUCACAGGUGAGAAGGAAAUUCUUCCUGCAAAACCGAGAGCUGUGAAAUCAGUCAUGUAAUGGUUUCUUGUGCCAGAGUAUUAGCUUUAAGGCUAUUAAAUGUGUAAAGUUGAUAAUUAUGCACUUGUGACUCCUGUGUUAGCAAAUGUCAUGGUAUGUUACAAGCAGCUUAGGGACAGAUGCUGACUUCGGCUGCACUGGUGUCAGAUUGGCUUUGGCUCAGCUGUAGUCAGGACUCAAUCUGGAUUUGCUCCUUGUUGCAUUCAUACUAUUUGCUGAUGUUGCUGAGCAUGUUUCUGAGCUGGCUUGAAAUGUCCAAGACACUUCUCCCCUGCUCCAUCAUGCUCAGGAUACUCUGAGGUUUCACACAACCUUCCACAGCUUUAACCAUCCUUGUGUUUUGGAAGCAGUGUGAAUGAUGUAUGUGCACUUGGCUGGGACGUCUGUCCCCUUCACCCACACGGAGCAGGAGCCAACAGCCAACAGCAGCAAUGGUGAAAAGCUGGGGAAACUGGAGCAAGAGGGAAAGGGGCUGUCCUUCAUCUCCUCUGUCUGUCCAUACUAAUGAGACUGCAGAAGACUUAUUUUGAAACUAAGGUGAGGUUCACCUGCAUCUGAUUUCAAGUAAAACGAGAUCUACCUCAGUGAUUUA
rnacentral:lncRNA from 1 species